rnacentral:rRNA from 1 species
AGUCGAACGGCAGCGCGGGAGCAAUCCUGGCGGCGAGUGGCGAACGGGUGAGUAAUACAUUCGGAACGUGCCCAAUCGUGGGGGAUAACGCAGCGAAAGCUGUGCUAAUACCGCAUACGAUCUACGGAUGAAAGCAGGGGAUCGCAAGACCUUGCGCGAAUGGAGCGGCCGAUGGCAGAUUAGGUAGUUGGUGAGGUAAAGGCUCACCAAGCCUUCGAUCUGUAGCUGGUCUGAGAGGACGACCAGCCACACUGGGACUGAGACACGGCCCAGACUCCUACGGGAGGCAGCAGUGGGGAAUUUUGGACAAUGGGCGAAAGCCUGAUCCAGCCAUGCCGCGUGCAGGAUGAAGGCCUUCGGGUUGUAAACUGCUUUUGUACGGAACGAAACGGCCUUUUCUAAUAAAGAGGGCUAAUGACGGUACCGUAAGAAUAAGCACCGGCUAACUACGUGCCAGCAGCCGCGGUAAUACGUAGGGUGCAAGCGUUAAUCGGAAUUACUGGGCGUAAAGCGUGCGCAGGCGGUAAUGUAAGACAGUUGUGAAAUCCCCGGGCUCAACCUGGGAACUGCAUCUGUGACUGCAUUGCUGGAGUACGGCAGAGGGGGAUGGAAUUCCGCGUGUAGCAGUGAAAUGCGUAGAUAUGCGGGAGGAACACCGAUGGCGAAGGCAAUCCCCUGGGCCUGUACUGACGCUCAUGCACGAAAGCGUGGGGAGCAAACAGGAUUAGAUA